AGUCCAGAGGGAGUCCUCUUGUAGCUGGUCGGGGAUUAAGGUCGCAUAGACAUAGUAAGCUCGUACGCGAUCUCCACGUCGCGACGAUUCCUUUAUUCUUGUCGAUCAAAAGUGGCCGAUCCGCAAGAUUCGUCACACUUUCACCAAAUAUAUUUAACAAAUAUAAAAUAAUAAUUCCGUACGCGAGGCGUUAAUAAAUAUAAAUCUGAAUAUGAUUCGUGAGCUUGGCAAGGAUAACAAAUUAAAUGCUACGAGACUACUGUGUUGAUCAAAAGUGGCCGAUACGCAAGAUUCGUCAGACUUUCACGAAAUAUAUUUAUUUUAUAAUCGCCAAUGUAGCGAAAAUUAAUGUAUUCGAAGAAAUACGUUACUUUUGCAUCCGUAUGUUCAAAAAUUAACUGUCGAAAUUACGAGGAAAAAUCAACUUUGAUUUUGAGUUAAUAUUCACGUGAAUAUAUGACAGAUAUUGCUUGGUUUGUUCGCGAGUUCCUGGAAUAAUUAAACUAUACUCCGCGACAAUUACAUUAGGUUGUCCCAAAAGUUUCUUCCAUGACUUGUACUCGGUCAUUUUGCGUAGCGAUGUUUAUAUAAAUAGGCCACUUCGUUUCUCAGAUCUUAAUGCUCCAACCAUAACGGAGCUAAAUGAAUCGCAAAAUGAAUACGCAAUUCAAUAAUAUAACAUUAGACAUAAAAUAUCGCGUAUGUACUACUUAUUAAUGAAAUGGAAGAAACUUUUGGGACAACCUAAUAUAUGUCGAACUUUCGAGAACUGGUCAUUCGGAAAAUCAAUUUCUUUUUUUUUUUUGCUAAAAAGAAAAGCAACAAAACAUAUCGUAUAUUCCAAAGUUCUGUAACAUCGCGUUACAAUAAAUCCAAAUUCUGUGAUAGGAUACGGCGUGCGACGACGCUAGUAUAGCACAGACAGAGAACAUACAAGUAGAUAAUGCAAUAUUAAAAUCUUACGCAAUGCAUAAAAAGUAUGUUGAAUCUGCAAUCGAUUGUGCAGUUGCCAAUGAUUCAGUGGCAGAUAAAGCAGUAAAGGUCGUUCGGUAAAAAAAAUGCUGGAUGAAUGCAAGCCCCACUGUCAGAUAAACGUGAACUUGGAUAUUAUUUGUUACAAAACUAAUGUUGUGAAAGAUAUUCCCAUUCGUUGGAUUCUAUCGACGGCUCGCUCUUAAACUUGUACGUAACGCUGCGAACGUUAUCGCUGACUGUACGAUCGUCUCUGAUCACGCGCUAUCAAAGUACGAACAAAGUGCACAAGUACGAAAGAACGAGCAUUAUCUUGGGAUUCCAUAGUAUUUCUAUUGAUACUGCAGCAGCGCUAUCGUCGAAAACUUUGGAACAAUUCUAGCGAGAGAAUGACGGGAAUCGUUGUCUUGGCUUCCCUUAGCUCGUUUCGCGCGCUAUUUCGACAAGUCAGCAAUGCCUAUCGGAAUGCACCUUCAUUUACUUCAUCGCUACCAUUCCGUGGACCGUGAAUCAGAUUACCGAACAAUUUCGGGAGAGUCGUUGAAGAAUAUUCGAGUUAUUCGACCGUUUAAAGAAAUCGAAAAUCGAGCCUGCCAUUUACGUGUCUGUAUAAUAAGUAGACUGCGAAUUUUAUGCGUUUUGUGACGUACAGUAUGUUGAAUAUAUUAGUAUAAGUAUAUUAUACAGGGUGAAUAAAUAUCUCUGUUACUUUUCGUUGUAAAAAAAAAAAAAACUUAGGACAAAGUUGCACCGUUUGAAGGGUCACGUGUAACGGUGCAAGGGAAAACAUUUUCAAGGUCUCUUUUUUACAAGAUUUGAAGGUUAAUGAUGUUUUUUUUAAUGGAACGAUAUAUCUUCGUUAACAUAAUGUUGUAGCUGACAAAAUAAUAAAACACAUCCAGGUAACACGAUAUGACCUGCAAAUGAUCUUGAACCCAGAAAAAUGGGAUCAAACAAAAUUCAA